rnacentral:rRNA from 1 species
UACGUAGGGGGCAAGCGUUGUCCGGAAUCAUUGGGCGUAAAGAGCGUGUAGGUGGCCCGGUCAGUCCGCCGUGAAAGUCCAGGGCUCAACCCCUGGAAUGCCGGUGGAUACUGCCGGGCUGGAGUCCGGAAGAGGCGAGUGGAAUUCCUGGUGUAGCGGUGAAAUGCGCAGAUAUCAGGAGGAACACCAAUGGCGAAGGCAGCUCGCUGGGACGGUACUGACACUGAGACGCGAAAGCGUGGGGAGCAAACAGG